AGGCACUGCGGGUUGCUUAUCCGUCUCCCACGCACAAACCUGGCCGCCUCUUGUGAUUUGGGGUUUCUUAGAGUAGAUUGUUGUCACUUGGACCCAAAUAAGCUCACGCCUGGUAAGAUGUUUGGAGUGGGGACUUCCUCUUUGGUACUUCACGGGCGGCGUCUCAAUAAUACACUGAGCCCAGACCCCAAGGUGAAAGGACACCAUCUUUGUCCGGGGCUGAUGUGGCUAUGGACUACGUUUCCCAGAGUCCAUAGCGAGCUGACAUUGUAGCUCAACUUUGAUGAAACCUUUACCUUUGGCUGAAGCAGGAUGCGCGCGCCUUCUACUGAGACCCAAGGACUUGUCAUUUUUAAGCCUGAUGUCGUCUUCUUAUUGGAGCAAGGGAAAGAGCCAUGGACGGUUACAAAUUAUAUGACAAAUCCUUGGCACCCAGACUUGAAGACAAAGUGUGAGAGAGUUCCCAGGAAAGGGCUCUUUGAAUAGAGUCAUUCAAAUGGGAGGUAACGGGAAGCUAGCAGCACCGUGACUUUCAGGACCCUCACCUCACAGAUGCCUGGGCGUGCAGAGACCGCUGUGAGAGACAGCGCACAAGUCAGGAGUGUCAUUUCAAGCAAGUGGAAACCCCUGGAAAAGUGUCCCUGCUCUCCAGCGUCACACACGGCAUGGGAGCGGCAGGACUGCAGUAGAGAAAGUGACCUGACCGGAUGCAGUGAGCUCGAGGAAGCAGGGAAGCGUUUAGCUGUGGCUUGAGCCUUACUCAGCACCUCAGCAGUUGAAAAGCCCUUUGAGUGUAAGGGGUAUGGGAGAGCUUUUGCUCAGGCCUCACACCUUGUCCAGCAUCAGAGAAUCCAUUCAGAUGAGAAGCUCUAUGGGUGCUGGGCGUGUGGCCAUCCUUCAGACCUCAGUCUCCAUCAGAGACUUCCUGCUAGCGUCAAACACUAUGCAUGCAAAGACUGUACAAGGACCUUUAGGCAACAGUCGAAGCUCAUUCUGCAUCCAAGAACUCACCCUGAUGAGAAGCCCCAUGUCUGUGAAGACCGUGGGAAGGCUUCAUUCGUGGUUCCCUGCUUACUGUACAUUGGAGAAUCCACACUGGGGCUCGGCCCUAUCAGUGUAAAGACUGCGGAAAGGCCUUCAGCCAACACCCCAGCUCACCGUACACCAGCGAAUUUACACUGGAGAGAAGCCCUACGAAUGUAAGGACUGUGGGAAGGGUUUUAGCCACAGCUCAGAAGUCACUCGACAUCAAAGGAUUCAUUCUGGGGAGAAACCCUAUGAAUGCCAGGAAUGUGGGAAGGCCUUCAGACAGCAUGCGCAGCUCAGGCCACAUCAGCCAUCAGAGCGUCCACACUGGUGACAGACCCUUGGCAUGUAAGGACUGUGGAAAGUCGUAGUUCGUACCUUAUUCAACAUCAGAGGAUCCUUAUGAGUGUCAGGAGUGUGAGAAAGCCUUUAUCGGUGUCUCCCAGCUCACUUACCAUCAGAGAAUUCAUACAUACGAGAAGCCCUGCCUAUGCAGGAAGUGCGGAAUGGCUUUUAUUCGUAGUUCACAACUUACUGAACAUCACAGAAUUCAUCCUGGUGUCAAACCCUAUGAGUGUGGAGAGUGUGGGCAGGCCUUUAUCCGUGGCUCUCAGCUCAUUGACCACUACCGAGUUCAUUCCGACUGGAGUCCUUAACAUUAGUGGUGUGCUUAUUCAAUAGUCUCUAUUCAAAGUUGACCUCUGGCCAGGGUUACAUUGCCCCCAGUGUAACUAAUGUUGGGAGAACUUUGUUCAUCUCGUUUGUUACAGGUUAUCAGAAAACGCAAUACCAGGAGAAAGACCCAUUAAUGUGGAAAUCCUAUUUUCCUCGUUCACUGGUUACUAAGCAGCAGCAAACCUGUGCUAAAAAAUAGCUUGAUAUGAAUGUAGAGAAGGCAUUUAUUACCUAUCAAAAUAUGUUCAGUUUCUGAGAAUCCCACAUAGAUGGCCAUGCUGCUUAAAAGAUUUUUUAAAAAGAUUUAUUUAUUUAUUUAUUUUAUGUAUACGAGUAAACUGUUGUUGUCUUCAGACACACCAAAAGAGGGCAUCAGAUCCCAUUACAGAUGGUUGUGAGCCACCAUGUGGUUGCUGGGAAUUGAACUCAGGACCUCUGGAAGAGCAGCCAGUGCUCUUAACCACCGAGCCAUCUCUCCAGCAUCCCCCCCUCCCUUUUUAAGAUUUAUUUAAAAAGAUUAUUUGUUUGGUGUGUUGCGAGUAAUGACUGUGCCUUUGGGCGGGCGUGGCUUAGACCUGAAUUUGUUCUCACCCCCACUGGUUACUGAUGUCAUUGAAGUUACUGUGCAAUUUUGUCCUUCUUUGACCCUUACUUCUUUUUUCUCUUGGUAUUUAUUUGUUUUUUAAGGGAGAAUCUCAUAGAACCUCAGCUGGUCUCAAAAUUAUUAUGUGGCUGAGGAUGUCUUUGAACUCCUGAUCCUCCUGCCUACGCCUCCCAAAUUAUAGGCUUGCAUGACCAUGCCCAGCUAAUAAUGUCUUAGGUUUUGCAUUUUGUUUCGUUUAGUUUGAGGGAAGGAGUUGUUUUUAUUUUGGUUUGGUUUGGUUUGGUUUGGCUUGGCUUGGUUUGGUUUGGUUUGGUUUGGUUUGGUUUGGUUUGGUUUGGUUUGGUUUGGCUUGGUUUGGUUUUUAGAAGAGACUGUCCUAACAUGUAGAAGACCUCCAUGGUGUACUUUGCCGUGCAUCUGCCACCGUGGCAUUCCCUGCAAUCCGUAAUUAAGAUUGAGAGACUUAGUUGGAUGUGGUGGCUCAUGUCCUCUGGGCCUAGCACUCUGGAGGCAGAAGCAAGUGAUCCAGACAAGCCAAGGCUGCAGAGUGAGACCCUGCCUCAAAAAGGGAGGGGCAUUGGAGGGAUGGCCAGCCAUUAAGAGCCCUUGUUGCUUCUGCAGAAGACCGGAGUUUGGUUCCCAGCAUUGUGGUUCACGACCACCCAUAACUCAUAACUCCAGUUUCAGGGGAUCCAGGAUCCACUUCUGGCCUCUCCAGUCACCAGCAUGUACCUGGUGCACAUAAAUUAUAUACAGCUUUAAAACAAACAAAAACAAAAACCAAAAAAAAAAAAAACCUUGAACUCCAAAAUGAACAUGGACAGUACUUUCUGCUUACUUUGGGAGUUGGGAAAUGGAACAAGUCAGGUUCUCAUGUAGCCCAGGCUAGCCUCAGAGUUCCUCUACAGCUAAGGAUAAAGUAGAACUAGUCCUCCUGACUCUACCUCCCAAGUGUUGAGAUCACAGAUAUUUGCCACAGUUUUAAAUAUUUAUUUAUAAAACCUAAAACUCAGGGACUCAGAGAGAGGAGAUGCAUAGGAGGGGCGGGGUACACAGACUGGAACCGCUUUCCUCUCAGCGCCAGCCAGUUUCCUUUUUGUUUUUUCAAGACAGGGUCUUUCUGUGUACCCCUGGCUGUCUACCACUUGUUCUGUAGACUGGGCUAGCCUUCAACUCAGAGAUCUGCCUGCCUCUGCCUCCUGAGUGCUGGGAUUGAAGUGUACCACCAAUGCCCAGGCACUAGCCAUCUACCUAAUCCUUUAAUACAGUCACAGUCCUGGAGCCUGCCAAAGGGCUAUUUAAUUACAUAUUAAGGUAUUUAAUUAUGGACAAUAAGUGAUUCCAACAUCUCCCAAACACCCCCUCCCUAGAAGCCCAGGAUACUGAGAGCUGGAUGCCCUUUCUCUGUGCCUUGGUCUUUCUGGUGCCCAGGCUCAUACUCAACCUAUUUGCGGGCCACCAGAUAUCAAUGCAUAAGUAACAUCGUCAAUCCUUCUAAUGGUUCAAAGAAUCUCAGGAGCUGGGUACUAGGAGCUGGAGGCAAAGACAAAGAUGUAUUUUCUGUUACACAGCGGCUACCUUCAUUCAAACAGAAGUACUAGUGGGUUUCGUUUUGUGGCAGAGUCCCUCUAUACAGCCUUGGCUAUCCUGGAACUCAAAACCACCCUGCCUAAGCCUCCCACAAGGUUUAUAGGUGUGAACUUAUGGCAUACCUUAAAGCACUUUGGGGGCAUCUGCUUUCCUACAUUGGAAACAUUUUAAAAUGACAAUUGUAAGCCUGGUUUGUGAUACUUGGUUGAGACUACAAUAGUCAGCAGGGUGAGACGUGAGAAUCCCGAGUUCCAGGCAGGCCUGAAUUAUGUGGCAAGACCCUGUCUGGGGGACAAAGUGGGAGGGGGCAUCGCAGAGUAGGGUUGAAAAUGUAAAUCCAGAAUUAUCAGAUUCGUGGAAGGAGUCAGGUUGGAGGAGCAGUUGAGUGUUUUUGCCACAAGAUGGCAGCACAAUGCUACCAAACAGGUUUUGCAAUCUAGGCCACUGCAUGCAGCCAGUUCUGAUACCUGCCUUCCACCACAAGCAAUUUUCUGUUCCUUUGCUUGCUUGCUGUUUUGUUUUGCUUGAGACAGGGCAUCAAUAUGUAGCCCUGGCUGUCCUGGAUCUUACUCUAUAGACUAGGUAGACUUCUUAGACUCACAGAGAUCUGUCUGCCUCCUGAGUCCUGGGAUCAGGGACACACACCACCAUGCCAGAGGCUUGCUUGUUUUUAAAUGAAGGGAUUCACAUAAUGGCCUUGAACUCCACAGGUAACCAAGGUUAGCCUUGUCCUCCUAAUUCUUCUUGUCUCUACCUCCUAAACCCUGGGGUAUGGGCUGCUAUGCCUGGCUUGGGGCGGGGGCUUACAUGUAAACAUGCACAGGGCUCCAUGUACUGUAGGCCAAAAGCUGACGACAGGGUCUUUCUUGGUUCCUAUUUAUUGAGUGAGGGUCUCUAGACCCAGGACAACCUUAUAGGAUCAAACAGCAAGCAUGCUGAACCAUAGAGCUGAUUUGCUAGCCUUUUUUGUUUUUUUCUUUCUUGUGGGAAGCGGUUUCGCUGUGCCUGUGUGGCUUAAUUGGUAAACAAGCAAUGUGCGCAUGUGCGAGAAUGUUUUCGUGCCAAGUCUUGGCCCAUCCCGGGGCAUGAUGAUGAGGCUCUGGGAGAGCAGCCAAUCAGGUGUGGACACGCCACACUAAGGUGUAUAUAAGCAGCGCCUUUUUGGUGCUUGGGGUCUUCCUCUUCAUGUUGAAACUGGUGUAAUAAAGUUGCUGCAGAAGGA